UACAGAGGUCUCAAGCGUUGUUCGGAUUCAUUGGGCGUAAAGGGUGCGUAGGCGGCGCGGUAAGUCGGGUGUGAAAUCUCGGAGCUUAACUCCGAAACUGCAUUCGAUACUGCCGUGCUUGAGGACUGGAGAGGAGACUGGAAUUUACGGUGUAGCGGUGAAAUGCGUAGAUAUCGUAAGGAAGACCAGUGGCGAAGGCGGAUCUCUGGGCCUUACCUGACGCUCAGGUGCGAAAGCUAGGGGAGCGAACAGG
rnacentral:rRNA from 1 species